rnacentral:rRNA from 1 species
AGUGAACGCUGGCGGUAGGCCUAACACAUGCAAGUCGAACGGCAGCACAGGAGAGCUUGCUCUCUGGUGGCGAGUGGCGGACGGGUGAGGAAUACAUCGGAAUCUACUCUGUCGUGGGGGAUAACGUAGGGAAACUUACGCUAAUACCGCAUACGACCUACGGGUGAAAGCAGGGGACCUUCGGGCCUUGCGCGAUUGAAUGAGCCGAUGUCGGAUUAGCUAGUUGGCGGGGUAAAGGCCCACCAAGGCGACGAUCCGUAGCUGGUCUGAGAGGAUGAUCAGCCACACUGGAACGGAGGCACGGUCCAGACUCCUACGGGAGGCAGCAGUGGGGAAUAUUGGACAAUGGGCGCAAGCCUGAUCCAGCCAUACCGCGUGGGUGAAGAAGGCCUUCAGGUUGUAAAGCCCUUUUGUUGGGAAAGAAAUCCAGCUGGCUAAUACCCGGUUGGGAUGACGGUACCCAAAGAAUAAGCACCGGCUAACUUCGUGCCAGCAGCCGCAGUAA